rnacentral:rRNA from 1 species
UACGUAGGGGGCAAGCGUUGUCCGGAAUUAUUGGGCGUAAAGAGCGUGUAGGCGGUCCGGUAAGUCAGCUGUGAAAGUCAAGGGCUCAACCCUUGAAAGCCGGUUGAUACUGUCGGGCUAGAGUCCGGAAGAGGCGGGUGGAAUUCCCGGUGUAGCGGUGAAAUGCGCAGAUAUCGGGAGGAACACCAAUGGCGAAGGCAGCUCGCUGGGACGGUACUGACGCUGAGACGCGAAAGCGUGGGGAGCAAACAGG